CAACUGGGAUUGCCCUAGUAACGGCGAGUGAAGCGGCAACAGCUCAAAUUUGAAAUCUGGCCUCUCUCGGGGUCCGAGUUGUAAUUUGCAGAGGGUGCUUUGGCGUAGGUAGCGGUCUAAGUUCCUUGGAACAGGACGUCGCAGAGGGUGAGAAUCCCGUAUGUGAUCGCCUACCUUCGCCGUGUAAAGCCCCUUCGACGAGUCGAGUUGUUUGGGAAUGCAGCUCUAAAUGGGAGGUAAAUUUCUUCUAAAGCUAAAUACCGGCCAGAGACCGAUAGCGCACAAGUAGAGUGAUCGAAAGAUGAAAAGCACUUUGGAAAGAGAGUCAAAUAGCACGUGAAAUUGUUGAAAGGGAAGCGCUUGCAGUCAGACUUGCCCGCAGUUGCUCACCCCGGCUCUUGCCUGGGGCACUCUUCUGUGGGCAGGCCAGCAUCAGUUCGGGCGACCGGAUAAAGGCCUCUGUCAUGUAUCUUCCUCCGGGAUGACCUUAUAGGGGAGGUGUAAUGCGGCCAGCCCGGACUGAGGUCCGCGCUUUUGCUAGGAUGCUGGCGUAAUGGCUGUAAGCGGCCCGUCUUGAAACACGGACCAAGGAGUCUAACAUCUAUGCGAGUGUUUGGGUGUCAAGCCCGGACGCGCAAUGAAAGUGAACGGAGGUGGGAACCCCUCGGGGUGCACCAUCGACCGAUCCUGAUGUCUUCGGAUGGAUUUGAGUAAGAGCAUAGCUGUUGGGACCCGAAAGAUGGUGAACUAUGCUUGAAUAGGGUGAAGCCAGAGGAAACUCUGGUGGAGGCUCGCAGCGGUUCUGACGUGCAAAUCGAUCGUCAAAUUU
rnacentral:rRNA from 1 species